AUGUGUGCCGGCCUGUGGCAGCUGCUCGUUGCCGUGAGCGCGUUUCUGGCGAUGGCGGCGGCGCAGGAGACAGGGGCGGCGCCGAUGGUGCCGGCGCUGUUCGUGUUCGGGGACUCGCUGCUGGACAGCGGCAACAACAACAACCUGGCGUCGCUGGCCAAGGCCAACUACCUCCCCUACGGCAUCGACUUCGCCGCCGGCCCAACCGGCCGAUUCUGCAACGGCUACACCAUCGUCGACGAGCUCGCCGAGCUGCUUGGGCUGCCCCUGGUUCCAGCCUACUCCCAGGUCUCCGGCUCCGGCCAGCAGCUCCUCCAAGGCGUCAACUACGCCUCCGCGGCCGCCGGAAUCCUCGACGACAGCGGCGGAAACUUCGUUGCACGGAUACCGUUUAACCAGCAGAUCCAGAACUUCGAGUCGACCGUCGGCCAGAUCGCCGUCUCGGCGGGAGGCACUUCGGCGGCGGCCAGCAUCGUCUCUCGGUCCAUCGUGUUCGUGGGGUUGGGGAGCAACGACUACCUGAACAAUUACAUCAUGGCCAACUACGAAACCCGGAGGCACUACACGCCCCAGCAGUUCGCCGACCUCCUCGUGACACAAUACACCUCCCAGCUCACCAGGCUGUACAAGGCGGGGGCGAGGCGGUUCGUGGUGGCCGGGGUGGGGUCGAUGGGGUGCAUCCCGACCAUCCUGGCGAGGAGCGCGGAGGGGCGGUGCUCGGAGGAGGUGGACCAGCUGGUGGCGCCGUUCAACGCCGGGGUGAGGGGGACGCUGGACGGCCUCAACGCCGGCCUCCCCGGGGCCACCUUCACGUACCUCGACAACUACCGCCUGUUCAAGCUCAUGCUCGCCCACCCUGCCUCCUACGGGUUCGACGUGGUGGACCGGGGUUGCUGCGGGAUCGGCCGGAACGGCGGGCAGAUCACGUGCCUGCCCUUCAUGCCGCCGUGCGCCGACCGGGAGCGCUACCUCUUCUGGGACGCCUACCACCCCACGGCGGCGGUCAACGUCAUCAUGGCGCGCCAGGCCUUCGACGGCGCCUCCGACGUCGUCUCCCCCGUCAACGUCCGCCGCCUCGCCCAGCUCUGA
rnacentral:rRNA from 1 species